CUUUUCAGAUCGUUCUGUUUCUGCUGACAACUGAUACAAGGAUUAAGGCAGCCACAACAUGAGCAGGUCAUCUAUAUAUCAUGUGUGGUCCAAAUAAACAGGUGCAAAGAGAUGGUGACAAAGAGGGAAAAGAGCUUAAAGCUGAAUUGAGGACGGAAUUAGACACAGAUGGCUGAAGAGAAGACCUCAGGAUGGAGAGAUUGAUAAAGUAUUUACUCUUUAAGUCCGCUAAUCAAGGAGAAAAGAGAACUAAUCAACCCGUAUUACAGAGAUCAGACAUGCCGGCCGGGAUGAAGUCAAACGGACAGCCAGCGCUUUUCCCCUAAACAUGCACAGCCGUUUCGUUCUUUCUUUACCCAUUUUGAGACGAUAAAUUAUCCAAUAUAUUUCAUCAUAUCUUACUAAGGCAAUUACAUCAAGAAAAUGAUAGCGCGUGUGGAAUCAAUUAUGCAUGCCCUUGGCCGGAGACCAGAGGCUGGGAAGUCGGAAAGGGCAGAUCCACUCCGCACAUGCACACAAACACGCACACACACAUGAAUGCAUGCAAAGAAACCCAUACUACACCACGCUACACACACACACACACACA